UUUGAUCAAUAAAUAUGGUCAUAAAUUCGGCUGAAACUAAUGAAAAACAUCAAUAAAUUCGGCAACUAAGACACAUUUAAUUCAGCAUCCUAGACAAGUUAAUUAAAUUUGGCUGAACAUUAAAUAAUAGCUUAGGCAUAAUAAAUCAGCAAUAAGACACAUUAAAUAAUUGUAAUAUGGCAAACACAUUUAUGCUAGGUAAUAAUUAAAACAAAUUAAACAUGCAAUAAACAAACAUAAUUAAAAUGUCCAGAUUUCUUAAUUAAACACUUAGU
rnacentral:lncRNA from 1 species